rnacentral:tmRNA from 2 species
GGGGGCGUUCAGAUUCGACAGGGUUGUUUUGUCGUAGGCUGCAAGUCGAGGGAACUGUUCCCGCGUUAAAAAACAAGUAAAUUCAAAGAUGCCAAAAAUAAUGUCAUCACCGGCAAUUUCGGCAAAGGCGCUUUGCGCCUCGCCGCCUAACUUAAGUUAGUGUUGUCACUCUAUGUACAGCUCCUUUACCGGCUCGCAUAGGGUAAACCCCAGGUAAUUGCUUCUUGGCGAAGUUAGCGAAUAAUAGCCAAGACUAAGACAUAAUCGCAAUCCCGGAUGGCUGUUCAAGCCUCUACCAGCGGGUUAGCAAUAACGACUGGAAGAAUUUUGAACUAAACUUGUAGAUGCAUGCUUCGGGGCUUCUUUGGACGCGAGUGCAAUUCUCGCCGCCUCCACCA